UGAGGGCUUCAGUCCAUCUUUGGACAGGAGGUUUAGGUAAUGAGCACUGCAGAGAAUGGCCUUUUUUCUGCCUCUGUCUCAGGACUGGGGUCAAAGUUUUUCUGCCUCUGUCUCACAGCGGAGGUUUGGGUCAAAGGAUUGGCAUUAGGCACCAGUGGUCUUGCUUUACGUAGCAUACUUUCAACAUUGCAGCUGCUUUCCUGUUUUUGAAAUUCGGGUUUGAUUUUUCAUUUGUGACAAACUCCUUUGAGUUAACCAGCAGCUGGUUUUAUGUACAACACUUAUGGGGCAUUGUUUUGUGGAUGUCUAGGAGAGAGGACCCACCUAACCCAGGAUGGUCAUAAGCAACUGUGACCAAAAGAAAAAGUGGAGGGGGAAUCUCUUGAAAUACCUAAAGUAAUUUAUUUGCACACACAAUCAGAAAAAACUGGCUGUAGAACCAGAUAACUUAAAUACGGGACUUGCCCCCAGUGGCACCCAAAAUCCUUUAAAACAAAUUCUGAGAAAAAUUGCCUUCAUUCAGGAGGCAAACCAAAGAUGUCCAUCACCAACACCUGAAGAAGUUCCCCAGGUCUUUGAGCCCCUGCCUGAAACUCCUACUGUGGCAGUUCCAGAGUCACUAUGAACCGCAUCUGGUUCUGAACCGUUCUGUGCCCAAUUAAAAAGGGCACUCAAUGAACAAGAUGAGUCUCCAAAACACAACUUUGUUGCCCAGCUGACAAUUGCUUAGGGUAAUAAAACAGGUAAUUAAAAGAUUAAUAGUCCUUUAAAGGGGGAAAUGGAUGAAAAUAAAAGUGUUGAGCUUAUAAAAAUGCAGAUCCAACAAAUCUUUCCUAAACCAGAAGUACUCACUGACACUGAUGUUGAAAGGCUAAUAUCCAGGGAAUUUGCUAAACAAUAUUAGAUCUGAAACAAGUUAAAAAUCCUUUAAAUGCGGCCAGGCAUGGUGGCUCACUCCUGUAAUCCCAGCACUUUGGGAUGCCCAGGUGGGCGGAUCACCUGACGUCAGGAGUUCAAGACUAGCCUGACCGAAACAUGGAGAAACUCUGUCUCUACUAAAAAUACAAAAUUAGCCAGGUGUGUGGCACAUGCCCAUAAUCCCAACUACUUGGGAAGCUGAGGCAGGAGAAUCGCUUGAACCCGGGAGGCGGAGGUUGCAGUGAGCCAAGAUUGUGCCAUUGCAUUCCAGCCUGGGCAACAAGAAUGAAACUCUGUCUCAAAAAAAAAAAAAAAAAAAAGAGCCUGAAAAUAAAUAAUUAAUUAAUUAAAAUUAAAAUUUAAAAAUCCUUUAAAUGCUCAAACUACCUUCUUUGUAUCACCUGCAAGAUUUGCCAAAAGAAAAAAGAAAAUAAGUAAAUAAAAGCACUCCAUCCUGUGGUCUAGUGGCAAGGAUCUGGAAUCUGGAGCUCUCACUGCUACGGCCGAUGUUCAAUUCCUGGUGAGGGAACCAGUUCCUUUUGGUUUGAUGUUUGCAUGACUUUUGACUUUUAGGGAUAUUGCUUUGCCACUUGGGAGGGUGUCUUUGGGAAAAAAGAUUCAAAAGCCAGAAAUAUCAGCCUUUUGUCCUGGCUGAAAUCUAAUAAUAAGAGAUUUGAAAGGAAUUUUUUUAAAAGGAGCUCUAUGGCCAGACUGUUACACACACAGACACACACAGACACACACACACACACACAGCAGAAAAAAAAAUUCUGGUUUUUCUCUUUGGAUCUUGUUUUUUGGAAUUUUUUUUCCAGUGGCCUGAAAUUAUGUGCUUGGUCCUUGUGUUUACUUCCCUUCUUAAGGAUUGUUCUCUCAUUUGCUUCUACUCUUCCCUAUUCUUUCUUUCUCUUUGCUGCCUUCAGUACCACAGAAAGAAUCUAGAGGUGACAUCUAAUGAUUCGAACACUUUAAGGAACAUAGGAAAAGUACCACUGCCCCCUUUUGGUGGUCUUCUGUCUUCCUGUAGAGUAUAAAGAGUUGUAAACA
rnacentral:lncRNA from 1 species